CUCCACUCCUGCUGGCCUGUGCGUGCUGAGCUCAUGUGAGGGGCAGUGUCCACCCUCCCCUGACUGCAGGCCCUGCCUUAUUUACUUCCUUCAUCCCUGCUGACACACUUCAG
ensembl:misc_RNA